GAUGAACGCUGGCGGCGUGCUUAACACAUGCAAGUCGAACGGGAAAUACUUUAUUGAAACUUCGGUGGAUUUAAUUUAUUUCUAGUGGCGGACGGGUGAGUAACGCGUGGGUAACCUGCCUUAUACUGGGGGAUAACAGCCAGAAAUGGCUGCUAAUACCGCAUAAGCGCACAGAACCGCAUGGUUCGGUGUGAAAAACUCCGGUGGUAUAAGAUGGACCCGCGUUGGAUUAGCUAGUUGGCAGGGCAGCGGCCUACCAAGGCGACGAUCCAUAGCCGGCCUGAGAGGGUGAACGGCCACAUUGGGACUGAGACACGGCCCAGACUCCUACGGGAGGCAGCAGUGGGGAAUAUUGCACAAUGGGGGAAACCCUGAUGCAGCGACGCCGCGUGAAGGAAGAAGUAUCUCGGUAUGUAAACUUCUAUCAGCAGGGAAGAUAA
rnacentral:rRNA from 1 species